GCGAAUUGUCCCAUAUAUUUGAGCUUCAGAAACCACUUUGCCAUAGUUAAUAUCAUUACCCAAAAUGGAAAUCACCUAUUUAUAACUAUAAUUUAUCAGAAAAUUGAAUAACUCUCCGAUUUUUCUACAAUUCGCUAGGCCCAGACCGACCGGCCGAGUCACGCCUAGCGCGAUUCCGAACAUGGCUUCAGACUAAUCCAAACACAAAGCCACUGUCUGUGUUUUCAUGAAUCAGUUUCUCUUACUCUACCUCUACGUCUCCCAUCUUUACUCCGUAAAUCAAUAAUGGACCUCCUGCAUUCCGCUUUAUAUCUAAACAGAGGAACCCUUUUUCUCUGAUUCUCUCAUCGAUUCUUCUUCCGGUCGAAUUUAGUACAUCUUCUCUGAAAAGACUUCAUAUGCUGCUCCAGUUGCUAAAGCCGUUGAUCCUUGAUGAAAAGGAAUGUAGCUUCAGCUUCCAUGUUUUCAGAAACCAAGAUAGGUUCUUCUCAGAAGCCCUAGCCCCCAACUAUUUAUUCGGUAACUACCGCUCUUCGAACCAGCAAGAAGAAGAGGAAAGUUUGUAGUCGACGGUGUGUUCUACGCUAAGUUAUAUGAGGUGCUGACUAGGGAGCUAGCAGAGGAUGGUUGGUUACUCAGGUGUGGAGGUUAGGGUUACUCCGAUGAGGACAUGGAUUAUCAUCAGAG